rnacentral:sRNA from 1 species
GAAAGGAAAGAGCUCUAACUUUUUUGAU